CUGCAUUUGUACUGUAGCGCCGCUUGCUGUUGAGUGAUGAAGCGGAAAGUUUGGAAGCAGACGUCACGAAGUGGACAAUUUUUGGCACCAAAAGCAAAGAUAUACACCAUGGUGUCAACGCCAUCUACUUACAUGUACCGGUCCGGUAGGACCAUUCAAGAUGGAACAAGAAGAUUUUGUGUUCAGCUCAGACUCCAAAAGAUACGGCACAAAGCGGAUGAGUCUUUGCAUCUCAGCAGAUGAGGUGAGAGGAGGGACUGGAAGGUGAUCGGAGCUGGCUUGAUUAGCACAGACGGGGGCGCUGUAACGAGUUGGAGUCAUUGGAUUGGAAUGCAUCGGGCAUUGUCUGCAGUCUGUGCAGGUAUCAUCAUGACGAUGGAGGAGCAUCACCCUGGAUGAGAGAUCACAUGACCCCAGUCCAUUCAGAUGCUUGCAGCCUACCAUUGUCUUUCCCUGGUGUACUCAUUGUGGAGGAACAAUUACUGACUCUUGAAGGAAAAAAAGAAGAAGUUGGGCUGGUGGUCUGGUAUAGCACAGUGUGUUUAUGUUGCUGUUGAUGAAGAAGAAGAUUGUGAGAACCCGGUAGGCCCUGCUUAAAAGAACGCCUGAUAUUUUGCAUGAAUUUUGUUCUAACUAAAACAUGAACUGAUUAUACAGAACUUAAGACAUGUUCCUAUUUCUUCCAUCAUUGCACUCCUACAGUUAACACCAUUAUAUUGUUGGCAUUUUACUAAUCAUAGCUUUUAAGCCAGUAUUGUUAUAUAUAUUUGGUUCAACAGUAUACAAAUAAUGAAUGUUUAGGAGUGCAGUGUUAAGAAUAAUGUCAUGAGGUGACAGAUGGAAUGUUCCAUUCCACGAGAAGAACAUUCCAUCCGUCACCGAAUAAAAUCAUUCUUUCCAUUGCACGAAUAUGAAAUUCAUUAUUUGUUUUAUACAUCACCAGAAUAAAUCCUCGUCAUCUGAUUGGUCAGAGUCGCAUCAUGUGACUGUGCAAUAAAAAGUUUUAUUUACCAUGGAAUAAAACUUCUAUUUUAGCUGUGCGACCAGACUGUGGAUUUGGAUGAUUAAUUCAAUGACGUGAUCAACAACCAACCAAUUAGAUGAUGGGGAUUUAUUCAGGCUUUGUAUAAUGUUGUGGAGCAAAGAAACUGACUUGAGUGAGAUUGGAACCAGUGACCCGUUGUGUGCAUUUACGGGUAGUACAGGAAACGGGUACCCUAUUGAAGUCAAACACAGGUACCCGGGUACCCGUAAAAAGAAUCCUUUAACCCCAAAAUUCAAAUCCCGGAAGUUGUCUAAAGGACUUUAAAGCUUAACGAUGUAUACUGCAACUUUCGCGAGCGUCAUCUGUCGCGCGUUAAAAUGCACAUAAACAUGAAAUCUGUUUUGGCUUGCAUGUAGCUUGGUUUUCAUUUUGAAAUCCCCCACAAAUGGCAUUCAAAACCUUUCUAUUUUCAUUGUCUGAAAAAUUACUAAGUAAUUGGUAAAGUUGGUUACGGGUACCCGAUCCCAUAAUCUGGAACCGGUUCGCGGUUGGGUGCUAGGUACCUGGUUCCGAUGCACACCCCUUUUUUAUUUAUUCUGCAUGCAUUUAAUUCAGGAUGUUUAUUUAUUUUUGUAAUACGAUUAUGCAUUUUACUUCAUUAGUUUGUUUAUUGUUCACUUGUUUUAAAAUGUUAUAUUCUUCACUUAUGAAUAAUCUUGUGAAUUGCUUGUAUAAUUUUGUGUGUGUUUCAUUGAACCACAUGUACAGUGGUUAAUAAUUGACAAUCAUCUGAAUUGACUUUUGGGUCUGUGUACAGCAUCACCCACUUUUGAAGCUGUAUCAGACCGGUAGGCCUAUUCACACUACAGCCUCUCAACCUGGGUUGAACUCAACCCUGGGCAAAACCAGUGCCGCCCGGGUUGAGUUUUUGAUUGUUCACCCUGCGUUCAACCCCGCAUUGUUACACACUUGUUUAAUGUCAACCGAGCUCAUUUCACUUGGUCACUACUGUUUUGAACCCUGGCGAGAGUUUCAACCCGGGUUGAAAAUCUCAAGGUUGACGCAGGGUUGAACAUUUUCAAGUGUUAAAUGCUGCAUGUUUUCAACCCUGCGUCAACCCAGAGAUUUGUCUACUGUGAAAAGGCCUUCCUUACAGUUAUGUGGAGACACGCUCUGCAGCUGCAAUUCUCUCAUAUGAAUAUGUGACAAUUUUGUCACAGUUAAGAUUAAGUCACAUGAACAGUGUGUCAUAGAUAUGUACAAAUGUAGGGCCUGAGUUUGAUGUGUAUGAACUGGUUCCAUGCGCCCUCAAUUGGCUGUCAUAAGGUCUCACGGCAUACUGCCCUCUAAAGCACUUGCACAGACCCAAUAGAACAUCCAGUAAUUGAUAGAAUAGGAACAAAAUGAAUGCAUAUUGCAGCCACUGUUGUGAUUUGCACAAGUUGUUCAUAAUUGUUGAAAGCACACAAUUUUAAAUAUAACUUAACGUCAAGUUAAUUUUUUUAAACUUUAUUUUUGUGUAAAGAUUAAUCUCCAUCCUUGCAAGUAAAAUUUACCAUAUAUGCUUAAAUGCCUAACAAUAUUUAAACAUGUUGCCAUGCAUGCUAAUGUUCCUAACUGACCAAUGUAAACAAUGCUCAAAUUACACUUAUAAUAUAAUCAGAAUAAAUUUCAUGUGAUUUGAA
rnacentral:lncRNA from 1 species